rnacentral:rRNA from 1 species
UACGUAGGGUCCGAGCGUUGUCCGGAAUUACUGGGCGUAAAGAGCUCGUAGGUGGUUUGUCGCGUUGUUCGUGAAAACUCACAGCUUAACUGUGGGCGUGCGGGCGAUACGGGCAGACUAGAGUACUGCAGGGGAGACUGGAAUUCCUGGUGUAGCGGUGGAAUGCGCAGAUAUCAGGAGGAACACCGGUGGCGAAGGCGGGGUCUCUGGGCAGUAACUGA